UUCCGUCUCAGUGCUCGAGAGAAACUGAGAUUAAGAGAGAAAGAGACAUGAGAGCUGAGGGAGAGAAAAACACAGAGAGACCGAAGGAGAGGGAGAGACCUGGAGGGAGAGAGACGGAGAAUGAGAUAGUGAGUCCGAGAGAGGGAGAUCGCCGGUGAAGAGAGACCAAACCCAGCGACCUGAGCAGAACCCACGUCGCCGGUGUCCUGAGGGGCGGAUUCCGGUCAACCCAGACCCGAUUUUUGGCGAGCAGAGGCGCGAUUCCGGUGGGGAAUUUCUGGUAGUUUCUGAGUAAAUCUUCAAGGUAUAAGAAAGAACUAGACUCUUAGGUGGAUCCUGAUGACGGUGUUUGAGGCUAGGUUUUCUCCCAUUUUGUGGACUACUAUGUUAUAAUUCUUUAUGUUAAUAUUCAGAAACAAUGUUUAUAUUUCUAUUAGUUUGUAAUAAUGGUACUAGAAAUAUGUUAGUUGUAAAUUAUAUGUUCCGUAUGUGGCAUAAGUAUUA